CAUUAAACAUGGAGAAAUAAAUUUAGAAGGGGUAUAAAAAUUAAUGGCAAGUAACCCACUGUCAACACUAGGGACUAUAUUUGUGAACAACGAAAAUCAAGGGACAACAAUUGUGGUCUCGGACCAUAACUAUUCAAAUGAGGAAACAGGGGGAGGAAUUUUAACUCUAACAGUUUUAUUAAUUUUGUUAUUAAAGGUUUUCUUAAUAGUUUUUUCUUUGAAAAUAUUUCUUUAAACUUUUCAAUCCCCCACAGUUCUACUUUACCUGAAAUAGAAACCUUUGAAGAUAUUUUAUUUGCAAAUUGGUGUUAUAUUGAUUUAAAGGUAUUUGCACAAAUUUAGAUCUAAUAUCAGCCAAACAUAUUUGGGUAAGUUAUGUUUGAAAGAAUGCACACAUAUGUAUUAAAUGUACAAUGUUGCAGCAUUUUUAUGAAAGAUAAAUUUAUUAGAACAAUUUGAAAGUUUUUCUUAUAAAUCAGUUCAUGACAUUAUUUAAGUGAACAAAAUAUUUGUUAAGAUUGAGGGAAACAAUACCAUACUGGCACAUCAUAUUUCAUACCAAAUGAUGUUUAGUAUAAAUAUCUUUUUGCUGUAUUCAAGCAAAUGAUCAAGUUCUUUUUUUUUUUUUUUUUUUUUUUUUAUCUAUCACUGAUCUAUUGUAAUGAAGGAUUUUUCAACCAUACUAUAAACUACCUGUUUAUUCUCUUUAAGAUCCUUUCAAAUUUAAGUUGACAAAAUACAUCAUUAUAUUUAUAUGAAAUUAUGAAAGUAU
rnacentral:lncRNA from 1 species